UACGUAGGGGGCAAGCGUUGUCCGGAAUCAUUGGGCGUAAAGAGCGUGUAGGCGGCUCGAUAAGUCUGCUGUGAAAGUCCAGGGCUCAACCCUGGAAGGCCGGUGGAAACUGUCGGGCUAGAGUCCGGAAGAGGCGAGUGGAAUUCCCGGUGUAGCGGUGAAAUGCGCAGAUAUCGGGAGGAACACCAAUGGCGAAGGCAGCUCGCUGGGACGGUACUGACGCUGA
rnacentral:rRNA from 1 species